GCUUGUCUCAAAGAUUAAGCCAUGCAUGUCUAAGUAUAAAUGGUAUACAGUGAAACUGCGAAUGGCUCAUUAAAACAGUUAUAGUUUAUUUGGUAUUCGAAUUUACAUGGAUAACCGUGGUAAUUCUAGAGCUAAUACAUGCAUCAAUCCUCUAUUUGAGGUGUAUUUAUUAGAUUGUAACCAAAGCGGGGUAACCCGGUAUAUGGUGAUUCAUAAUAACUUUCGGAUCGAUUUUAAUCGAUGCAUCAUUCAAGUUUCUGCCCUAUCAGCUUUGGAUGGUAGGGUAUUGGCCUACCAUGGCUUUAACGGGUAACGGAGAAUUAGGGUUCGAUUCCGGAGAGGGAGCCUGAGAAAUGGCUACCACAUCCAAGGAAGGCAGCAGG
rnacentral:rRNA from 1 species